GAUGAACGCUGGCGGCGUGCCUAAUACAUGCAAGUCGAACGCAUUGUGGUUGAAAUGAUAUGAAGAACUUGUUCAGAUUUGAUUUUCAACAUUGCAAUGAGUGGCGAACGGGUGAGUAACACGUGGGAAACCUACCUCUUAGCAGGGGAUAACAUUUGGAAACAAAUGCUAAUACCGUAUAAUAAUUAAAACCGCAUGGUUUUAGUUUAAAAGAUGGUCUUGCUAUCACUAAGAGAUGGUCCCGCGGUGUAUUAGUUAGUUGGUGAGGUAAUGGCUCACCAAGACAAUGAUACAUAGCCGAGUUGAGAGACUGACCGGCCACAAUGGGACUGAGACACGGCCCAUACUCCUACGGGAGGCAGCAGUAGGGAAUCUUCCACAAUGGACGAAAGUCUGAUGGAGCAACGCCGCGUGUGUGAUGAAGGGUUUCGGCUCGUAAAACACUGUUGUAAGAGAAGAAUGACAUUGAGAGUAACUGUUCAAUGUGUGACGGUAUCUUACCAGAAAGGAACGGCUAAAUACGUGCCAGCAGCCGCGGUAAUACGUAUGUUCCAAGCGUUAUCCGGAUUUAUUGGGCGUAAAGCGAGCGCAGACGGUUAUUUAAGUCUGAAGUGAAAGCCCUCGGCUCAACCGAGGAAUUGCUUUGGAAACUGGAUAACUUGAGUGCAGUAGAGGAAAGUGGAACUCCAUGUGUAGCGGUGAAAUGCGUAGAUAUAUGGAAGAACACCAGUGGCGAAGGCGGCUUUCUGGACUGUAACUGACGUUGAGGCUCGAAAGUGUGGGUAGCAAACAGGAUUAGAUACCCUGGUAGUCCACACUGUAAACGAUGAGUGCUAGUUGUUCGAGGGUUUCCGCCCU
rnacentral:rRNA from 1 species